rnacentral:rRNA from 1 species
UCGAGAAUUUUUCACAAUGGGCGAAAGCCUGAUGGAGCGACGCCGCGUGGGGGAUGAAUGGCUUCGGCCCGUAAACCCCUGUCAUUCGCGAGCAAACGUUAUUAUUUAAAAGAUGAUAGCCUGAUAGUAUCGAAAGAGGAAGGGACGGCUAACUCUGUGCCAGCAGCCGCGGUAAUACAGAGGUUCCAAGCGUUGUUCGGAUUUACUGGGCGUAAAGGGUGCGUAGGUGGUGGGGUAAGUCGGAUGUGAAAUCUCCGAGCUCAACUCGGAAAGUGCAUUGGGAACUACCCUGCUCGAGGGUUGGAGGGGGGACUGGAAUACUUGGUGUAGCAGUGAUAUGCGUAGAUAUCAAGUGGAACACCAGUGGCGAAGGCGAGUCCCUGGACAACUCCUGACACUGAGGCACGAAAGCUAGGGGAGCAAACAG